rnacentral:rRNA from 1 species
CCUACGGGUGGCAGCAGUGGGGAAUAUUGCACAAUGGGGGAAACCCUGAUGCAGCAACGCCGCGUGAGUGAUGACGGCCUUCGGGUUGUAAAGCUCUGUCUUCAGGGACGAUAGUGACGUUAGAUGGGGAGGAAGCAACGGCUAACUACGUGCCAGCAGCCGCGGUAAUACGUAGGUGGCGAGCGUUGUCCGGUAUUCGUGGGCGUAAAGGGAGCGUAGGGGGACUUUUAAUUUCGUUGUGAAAUACUCGGGCUCAACUUGAGUGCUGCAUAUCAUACUGGAAGUCUAGAGUGCAGGAGAGGAGAAUGGAAUUCCUAGUGUAGCGGUAAAAUGCGUAGAGAUUAGGAAGAACACCAGUGGCGAAGGCGAUUCUCUGGACUGUAACUGACGCUGAGGCUCGAAAGCGUGGGGAGCAAACAGGAUUAGAUACCCGAGUAGUC